GGGCAGAGUGGGGAGUAGGAGACUGUUCUGCAGAGGGAAUGUCACCGGAGGAGAGGGAGAACUUCAUUUCAAUGCUGAAGCAAAAGGCUGGAGUAAAUGAAUGAAGCAUUUGAAUUUGGAGCAACUGUUGCAUAGGAAAUCAUCAUUUAGAACUGAAAUAGUUUCUUUUUGUAGGAUUACUGGAGAGAUUAUCAGCUGUCUCUUUCUUGUUUUUCCGGAUGAUAUGCAUAUGAUGCCAAUAUUCUAACAGAGCCAGUAUGCUCUUGAGUUCAUUUCACAAAUACAUUUGUAUUUAUCUUUCCUCUUCCUUCACCCUUGCACAAUACUAAUGGAUAUUGCCAUGUAUAAAUCAACAUAGCAAUAAAUCUGUCAGCAGUUGCAACAUGCAAAUACACACAGUGAACCAGCUGUGCUUCAUCUUAAUUUUUUUUUUCUCAAUCAAAUAUCAAUUACAUUGUUAUUUACUCCCAAUAAUCAAACCAACCAGUGAACCAGGCAGCCAUGCAUAUUAAUUUAGUAAAAGAAUAGACAUGUAAUUGCUAUUACAAAAUACAAGCAUUGAACAACUGACAACUCAGUACUCACCUUCACCGGCACGAGAGCAACGACGGAGAGAGGCUGCAACGGCCGGCGAGAUGAAUGAGGUGACGACUGACCAGCAGCGGCUGGCGAAGAUGAGGCAGUAAACGAGCGGCGGCUGACAGUGGUGGAUCCUUAAAAUUUUGUUUGACGAUGAAUCCCCCCAUCCUUGCCCAGCGGAUAUACGAUUAGCCAAUUAUUUACCUGUAAUUGCCGAAUUGACCAAACCGAUUGGGUUCAUUGAGAAAUAGUAUCUAGUGAUGGGGCAUUAGCGAUAUUUAUAGAAAAUUGGAGGAGUGGUUUUGUCAAAUUCCACAAAAG
rnacentral:lncRNA from 1 species